GUCGUUGUAGUAUAGUGGUGAGUAUCCCCGCCUGUCACGCGGGAGACCCGGGUCCGAUCCCCGGCAACGGCG
rnacentral:tRNA from 1 species